GACGAACGCUGGCGGCGUGCUUAACACAUGCAAGUCGAACGGAAAGGCCCUGCUUUUGUGGGGUUCUCGAGUGGCGAACGGGUGAGUAACACGUGAGUAACCUGCCCUUGACUUUGGGAUAACUUCAGGAAACUGGGGCUAAUACCGGAUAGGAUCUCCUGCUGCAUGGUGUGGGUUGGAAAGUUUCGGCGGUUGGGGAUGGACUCGCGGCUUAUCAGCUUGUUGGUGGGGUAGUGGCUUACCAAGGCUUUGACGGGUAGCCGGCCUGGGAGGGUGACCGGGGACAAUGGGACUGAGAUACGGACCAGAAGGGAACGGGAGGCAGCAGUGGGGAAUAGUGCAAAAUGGGAGGAAGCAUGAGGCAGAAACGCAGGGUGCGGGAUGAAGGCCUACGGGUUGUAAAAAGAAUUAGAAUGAGAAGAAGAGUGAGUGACGGUAAUGGGUAAAGAAGCACCGGCUAACUACGUG
rnacentral:rRNA from 1 species